GGAGAGGUGGCAGAGUGGUCGAAUGCGCCGGUCUUGAAAACCGGUAGGGUUAAUAGCCCUCGAGGGUUCGAAUCCCUCCCUCUCCGCCA
rnacentral:tRNA from 1 species